rnacentral:rRNA from 1 species
GCAAGUCGAACGGUAGCAUUUCUAGCUUGCUAGAAGAUGACGAGCGGCGGACGGGUGAGUAAUGCUUGGGAACUUGCCUUUAGGUGGGGGAUAACAGUUGGAAACGACUGCUAAUACCGCAUAAUGUCUACGGACCAAAGGGGGCUUCGGCUCUCGCCUAAAGAGAGGCCCAAGUGAGAUUAGCUAGUUGGUAAGGUAAAAGCUUACCAAGGCGACGAUCUCUAGCUGGUCUGAGAGGAUGAUC